rnacentral:lncRNA from 1 species
GGAUCUGGCAUACUCUGGGGUCAGGUUUUCAAAAAAAAAAAUUUUAAACGCUUUUCCGCUGUGUUUCAAACUAAAAGGGGACCCCGGGGCGUGACAAAAGAACUCCAUCAGAUUAAAGUAUUAAAAGGAUUAAGUAUUAUACAAUGCAUAAAACAAACUAGAAGAACUUAAAUAUACAAAGAUAAAAAUUACAAUAAUUAUGAUAAUGAACAUUUUUCUCUCAGCGUCUGUGACCCUUGUGGAGAGCUCAUCAAUUCGUGCUUUUAGCUGUUUUCGUUUCUACAUGAUUAAUAUGUUCAAACAGCCAUUCAUCUAAACAUUUUGUCGGUGACGCAAAAUAUUGAAAAAACAUACUCCUUUUCACUUUUGAAGAGUUAGCGCUAUCUUCUUCACAUAUAUCUUUGUCUCUCCCUAUAAUUUUAAUGUCGCACCAUUGAAAAAAAUCUCAAUAAUUCUCAUUUUCUUUCCUAUAAUUAGAACACCCAUAAAAUAAUCUCCCACUACUAUUAGGUUGAGAGAAAACUCUUAAAACAAUAAUUUCAUUACGGUUGCAGCGAACCCACUUGUUGAUUAUACUUCUCAUAUUAAAUGAUAAUAAUUACCUACAUGAAAAAAUAAAUUAGUUAUAAUAAAUUUAUUUAUAAGGAUACAUACAAAUAUUAGUAAAUUUUUUUCUAUAAUUUUUUUAAAAAUUAGCAAAAAAAUAAAAAAUUUUAGCACAAAUCUUGUAUUUCCUUUUUUACAUAAUUUUUAAUUUUUAUAAAAACAAUAAAAGAAUAUAAAAUUGCACCAAGAAUCGUGUAUUUAAAUAUAUUUUUUUGGAAAAAACAUAGAACAUUUUUUAGUACCAAUCAAGUAGAAAUUUUUUUAAUAAAAAUAUUAAAAAAAUACGUAGGAAAAAAGAAGAUACAAGUAUCUUGUAGAAUUUUUAAAAGAUGCAUAGCUUAUCACUCCUUUUUUUUUUAUAAAUUUUCAAAAAAUUACAAUAAAAUAUAAAAUUUUAAUUCAAUGAGAAAAUGUUAGAAAAAAUGAAAUAAAAUUAUCAUUUUCUAUAAUUGUAAAAAAAGGAUAAUUGUCAAUAUACACCUCAAAACUUCGGAAAUAUCUUAUUUACCCCUACUUUUUUUUUUCUUUCCAAUAUGCCCCUCAUAUAUUCCACAGUUAUUCCAAAAUAUCCCUACAGUUACCACCCGUUAAGUUAAUUUGGGUUAAACGUGAGUUAAAUAUCUACCACAAUUAAAAAAAUUAAAAUGCCACUUUUACCCUUAACUUAAGGGCAAAUAAGAAAUGCUGGUGAUAGUAGAAGGGUAUAUUUGAAAAAACCAAAAAACAAAAUGCUCUUUGUGCCCCUAACUUAAGGGCAAAUAAAAAAAGACGGUGAUGGUAGAAGGGUAUAUUUUAAAGGGCAAAAUAAUAAUUUCACAGAAAUAACAGAGUUCAUUAACAGAUUUUAACUCUAGAGGUAUAUUAGAAAUAGGUUGGAACGUAAAAAGUGUAUUUUCAAAAUUAGCCUUCUAAGUAGGGUAAAUCAGAAAGUCGAAAACUUUUCCGGGUAUGUAAGUAAGUGCCCCUUGUAAAAAAAUGCAUAUGCUCAUCA